rnacentral:lncRNA from 1 species
ACCGCUUUGUACUUACGAUCUUGUAUCCACUGACUGUCUUGUUAGAUUAACCCAAUAAAUUUCAUUCACUCCGCAUACUCAAUCCUAUAGACACCUUUUUAAUCCUUCAAUCACAGACGUAACUCGAUUUCACAAAACAGUCAAGAGUAAUCAAACCCACUUCAUUAGAAAAAAUCCCGAUUCACCAUUACAACACUGACUUCAGCAACGAUUGCCUCAGUCUUCCCAAAACUCUAUAAAGAAGAAAAAUCCAAUUCUCCAUCUUUU